UGGCCUCGUGGUGGAGGUGUGCCCAGGUCCUGUUCUUCCCACGGGCAGGGUCAAGCAGCGUAGCCACGGUGCCUCCGUGUCCCAGUGAGGCUGGGGUCUCUCUGUGGCCCAGGUUGGAGCCUCUGCCGUAGAUGGGGGCGGUGGUGGGGAGGACCGCCCGAGGCCCAGCUCUCACGCCUACUGCUGCAGGACUGGACACCGUCUCUGACCCAGGACAUGAACUCCUCCUCCUGCAGUCUCCCUCCAGGGGCCUCCGUCUGGGUGAUUCCGGUAGGCCCUUUCAUUUUUUAGAUUAACUCAACCCUGAUGGCUGGGAGAAGAUCCUGCUACUCUCUACCACCUCGCAAACACUCGCAGAAGCCCCCAGCCUGGUGCUUUAAGAGGCCUAAGUCACCUCAGCCGUCCCCCGGAUCUCGCCGCUCUUUCUUCCUGCCCACCCGCAUGGCCGUCUGUCCCGAGAGUCGCCUCAGCCUGGUGACCCCCAAGCUGCCGGUCCUCGUCCCUGAGCCGCUACACUGACUGCAGCCUGGUGAUGAGGGGGCCUGGGGCCUGUAGUGUAACAGAUUCCCUGUCUGCUCUGCACGUGCCAGCACAAGAGAGCUAUAAAUAGGGCCCAGUCCCAGGCAUCCUUUGUGGAGAACGAGCCACAAACUUCAGGAGAGGCCAUGUUACCCCGGCAGCAGCCGUGCAGGGGGCCUGGGCUGAUGUUGGAGCCAGAGCAGUGAGGCCCUGCCCAACCCUCUCCCUACCCCAGGGAGCAGGAGCCACCAAUGGAGACAUGCCAUCUCCUCCCUCGUCUGCAGCCCACCUGGCACUCAGGAAGCGGCCCAGAGGCUGAGCCCACACCCCGAAGGGAGCCCCUGCCCUGAGGAAAAUUCUUAAGUCCUCUGCGAAUGUCUGGAAAGAACCACAGGAAGAAGGCAGAGGUGUGGCCUGGAUCAUUCCGAGCUGCCUGGCCCCAGAUGCCCCGAUGCAGGCUUGGAGGUCCUUGAGACACCCGGAGAGGGAGCAGAGGCAGCGUCUGAACUGGGAAGGAGGGUGUGGGGUGGAGACCACAGCCCACAUCGGGGAACGAAAGCCCUGGAGCCACCGGCACAUCCAGGACAGUUCAGCCUCCUGCCCUUGGGCCGAGCGAGACCCUUGACCCGAGCGAGACCCUUGACCCGUGUCCCCCAGAGCAGGAUGACAGGAUGGUGAGCUCCUCCGGGCUCUCUCUGAUCAGCCCUGGUGGUUCCUUAUCCGGAUCCUGAGCCGGGCAGUGCUGUGACACCUUGACUUAGGACAGGAUGCCUUGUGAGACAGACAUGUCUAACUGUUGGAGAGAGGGGACAGGGCCAGGGAAGAGGGCAUGGAGGCUAAUAACCCCUGAUGUCUGGCAACGCUGUCAUCCAGAAACCUGACUCAGACAGCGUGGCAUGAACUGCUGGGUCCCGUAACAUGGUCCCAGAAUCCAAUCCACUCAUUCUGCGAAGGGGCAGUGACCCCCUCAGACAGUGGGGUGGGGUAUGAAUGAGUGGAAAACACACUGUCUUUGGUGGAUCCGGAGGGCACAUGGACCCUAGAGUCUAGAGCCUUCCGUGGGCAAAGGUCUCCACAGUGGGUGGCUAAGGAAACCACUUGGGACUUACUGCCACGGUUGCCACUUCCACGUAGCUAACCCAGGGCAAUCUGUAGUUUACACCUGACCCGGAGAUCUGAGUUCAUCCUGUCUCCUCUCUGUGAGCCUCCUGGGGCCUUGGGGUGGGGUAGCACGGCCGUGUGCCCGAGUGCACACGGGAUUAAACCCAGGGCCCGAGCCCAUGGACACGGA